rnacentral:lncRNA from 1 species
GUUUCAUUCUGUGGAGGGCAGUGGGUGAGGAAUGGCGGGAGGCAAGAUGGAAAGAGGGAAGACAGCCCGUUUCACUCACAGGGGAAAUUAAAGACAACAACCGAAGGAGACUGGUUCCAAAUGCUGUCCUGCCCCGACCCGCAUGGCUGAUCUGAGGUCAAUCUGAUUUUCCCGACCGCUCCAGACCACAUUCACUUCCACACCAACAUGCGAUCCCUCAAGCUUUAGACUAGUGGCAUCCAACAGAAAAAGAACAUGAGUCCCAAAUGCAAGCCACAUGUCCCCAAAGACCCCCUUCCGUCUUCUUGAAGACCUGUAGCUUUUUAAGGAGAAACAAUGGCAUCUUCUGAAAUGCUUCCUGAGACCUUGGGAGCAAUCUGGCAAUGCAGAAGGUGGCAUUACUCCAAGAGCAGACUCUCUCUGUCCAGAGCAGCAGGCACCCUCUCUGCGUUUGUUGUUGAAGCUAGAACAAAGUCUCAGGAUGACAGCUUCCAGGAAGAGCCACCAAAACUUCCAUGCUUCCCUUCACUGAGCUGAGAGAGAGCGCUCCUGGAAAUGGAAUGGCCUUUAAAUACUUCUACAACCGAAAUUAAAACCUAAAAAGGAACACACUUGUGCCCAAAGUGGAAAAGAAUCAAUUGCAUAAGAAAACCAAGAAUCA